rnacentral:rRNA from 1 species
GACGAACGCUGGCGGCGGGCCUAACACAUGCAAGUCGAACGGAAAGGCCCUGCUUGCGUGGGGUGCUCGGGGGGGGAACGGGGGAGGAACACGUGUGUAACCUGCUCUUGUCUUUCGGGUAACUUCAGGAAAGUGGGGCUAAUACCGUAUAGGAGCCCCCGCUGCAUGGUGGGGGUUGGAAAGUUUCGGCGGUUGGGGAUGGACGCGCGGCUUAUGAGCUUGUUGGUGGGGUAGUUGCUGACCAAGGCUUUGGCGGGUAGCCGGCCUGGGAGGGUGGACGGGCACCAUGGGCCUGCGAUACGGCCCAGACUCCUACGGGAGGCAACAGUGGGGAAUCUUGCACAAUGGGCGGAAGCCUGAUGCAGCAACGCCGCGUGCGGGAUGACGGCCUUCGGGUUGUAAACCGCUUUCGCCUGUGACGAAGCGUGAGUGACGGUAAUGGGUAAAGAAGCACCGGCUAACUACGUG